AGAACUUAGGUUAAAUAUAAACCANGGGCCUUCAAAGCCCUAAAUAAGAGAGAAGACUCCUAGUUUCUG
rnacentral:tRNA from 1 species